UCCCCCCUGCAGGAUGCGGACGACCCCCCGCUGCGCUGCUUCCACCCCGCCUGCCCCCUGGCUGCCCACCCCGCCUGCCUGGCGCGGGAGUUCCUGCGGGAGGAGCCGGAGCAGUUCCUGCCCGUGGAGGGGCGCUGCCCAGGCUGCAAGAACCUGCUCCUGUGGGGCGACUUGAUUCGCUACCACCAGGGUUGCUAUGGUGACUUGGAAGAAGUCCUUGCCUCCUCCCAGGGACACUGGACAGAGGAGCUGCAGACCUGAAGACCAGCGGGGAGGAGCCUGCGCCGGAGGGGGCGGGGCAAAGGGCCGGUCCCCUUUGCCCCACCCACCGGGACGAUGGACCCGCCCCCUCCCGGAUCCCGGCGGCCCAGGGGUUAAUUAUGGGAUUACAUGAAAUAAAAAUCCCAGGAGAUUCGA